rnacentral:rRNA from 1 species
UAGGGAAUCUUCCGCAAUGGGCGAAAGCUUGACGGAGCAACGCCGCGUGAGUGAUGAAGGUCUUCGGAUCGUAAAACUCUGUUAUUAGGGAAGAACAAAUGUUUAAGUAACUAUGCACGUCUUGACGGUACCUAAUCAGAAAGCCACGGCUAACUACGUGCCAGCAGCCGCGGUAAUACGUAGGUGGCAAGCGUUAUCCGGAAUUAUUGGGCGUAAAGCGCGCGUAGGCGGUUUUUUAAGUCUGGUGUGAAAGCCCACGGCUCAACCGUGGAGAGUCAUUGGAAACUGGAAAACUUGAGUGCAGAAGAGGAAAGUGGAAUUCCAUAUGUAGCGGUGAAAUGCGCAGAGAUAUGGAGGAACAACAGUGGCGACGGCGACUUUCUGGUCUGUAAUUGACGCUAAUGUGCGAAAGCGUGUGGAUCAAACAGG